AGAGUUUGAUUAUGGCUCAGGAUGAACGCUAGCGACAGGCUUAACACAUGCAAGUCGAGGGGCAGCACGGGAGUAGCAAUACAACUGGUGGCGACCGGCGCACGGGUGAGUAACGCGUAUGCAACCUACCUAUCAGAGGGGAAUAACCCGGCGAAAGUCGGACUAAUACCGCAUAAAACAGGGGCACCGCAUGGUGAUAUUUGUUAAAGAAAUUCGCCGAUAGAUGGGCAUGCGUUCCAUUAGGUAGUUGGUGAGGUAACGGCUCACCAAGCCGACGAUGGAUAGGGAACUGAGAGGUUGGUCCCCCACACUGGUACUGAGACACGGACCAGACUCCUACGGGAGGCAGCAGUGAGGAAUAUUGGUCAAUGGGCGAGAGCCUGAACCAGCCAAGUCGCCGUGAAGGAAGAAGGAUCUAUGGUUCGUAAACUUCUUUUGCAGGGGAAUAAAGUGCGGGACGUGUCCUGUUUUGUAUGUACCCUGAGAAUAAGGAUCGGCUAACUCCGUGCCAGCCGCAGC
rnacentral:rRNA from 1 species